UACGUAGGGGGCAAGCGUUGUCCGGAUUUAUUGGGCGUAAAGAGCGUGUAGGCGGUUUGGUAGGUCCGCUGUGAAAACUCGAGGCUCAACCUCGAGACGCCGGUGGAAACCAUCAGACUAGAGUCCGGAAGAGGAGAGUGGAAUUCCUGGUGUAGCGGUGAAAUGCGCAGAUAUCAGGAAGAACACCCGUGGCUAGGGCGGCUCUCUAGUACGGUACUGACGCUGAGACGCGAAAGCGUGGGGAGCGAACAGG
rnacentral:rRNA from 1 species